GUUGCUUCAUAGCAAGUAUAGCCUAUCUGAAUAGUCUCAUUUAUUUACUUAUUUACUUUUCUGGCUGCUACCUGGAAAGAUUCUGCUUGAGGAUGAUAAGACAAUUGUUUGUGACCCUUGAUGUGUUAGUCUUAGAUUUCUCAUGUUAACCAUACAAUAUCCCAUUACUCAGGUUAUUUGAAACAUUAUGAAACCCUCAGCCAGGACAACUGUUCAUGCACGUCUACAUUCACAGACACCCAGUUCCAAGUCACUUUAUGGGCUACCUGUCUCUGUACAUCCUAGCCCAACAAGACACUAGCACACAAUAUUCAGGCCUCAGAGCUAUAGGACAGCCUCCUCCUCCAAGGGCCAGAUCUCUUUCUGGCUGUGAGUGAGUGCAUGUAAAGCUCUUGGCUAGGGUCACUUGGAAGGAACCUGAAACCCAGGGAGGUAGAUAAGUGAUACCAGAUCACACAGACCCUCCAGGGUGUCAGGACCGAGGCUGCCCGGAUAUGUAUGAUGCCAACAUGACCUGGGCAUGUGUGAUGCAAGAUGACCCACGGCAUAAUCUGAUCUGCCUAGGAGGAUUUGGCUUGGAUGUUUCCCUAAGGGCACAGAGGACAACAGGACAUGCACUGUCCAUACUAGUUCUCAGGCCCUGUGCGGGCAGGAGAUGAGGGCAGAGACAGGGAGACAUGAAAGUGGAGGCAGAGUGAGGAGAGAGGAGAAUUGUUGGAAGUGAGGGCAGCAAUGGCAGGGGCAACCUAAAUGGAUGGGAUGGAUGGAGAUUCUGUGGAGGCCCUGCAUCUUGCAGGUGUUCAUUUGCUAGCUGAGGAAAUUCAACCCUUAAAAUCCCUGAUCCUGAGUUUGUACAACGGAAUAAGAAAAAUGGUGACAACUGCCCAUCAAACACAGUCUUUUCCUACUCCUUAGACUAAAAAUGCCAAUUCAUGUAUUUAACAAAGAGUCCAGGAGAUGCUGAAGACUUUGAGACAAAUGAAACACACCUGACAUACGAUAUGGACAGUGAAGUAAUACUCAGAGAUUGAGUGACAGGUGAUGUCAUCAGGGCAGCAGUGGAAGGAGAAGGUGGAAAUAAACAGCACAAGGAGGAAAAAAGAAAGGGGAAGGAAGAGAAUGGAAGAGAUGAAAAUGGGGAAGCAGGGAAUUGGAAAGCAGAGGAAGCCAAGCCAAGCACUACAUGAAUAGAGCCUACAGAGAAAGCAUGUUAAGGCAAGCUGACAGCUCUGUGCUGCCCACUGGGGCUCAUCUUUUAGAAGGAAUGCUGUAUCUAACUUUGGCUUUAAAAGUGGCCACUUUUUAAGCAGCAUGACCUUGGGACCAUGCUGCUCAGAUGCUGCUUGACACCCCAGUGCCCAUAUCAACAAGUCAUAUGAGGGGUGGAAAAUUGGCCACUGGCUUUCUGGACGUUUGCUAACAUUUGGAACAUUAAUGUCCCACCUAGAAUGUCAAUGUGGAGGAGCUCUUGCAUAAAUUUUAGAAACCCGAGCCAUUAGAAGGAUGGUAUACAUGUGGGUGUUCAUAUUGUGUAUUUCAUUUAGAUGAUAAAGAUCCCUGUAUGCCUGCA